rnacentral:rRNA from 1 species
GAUCCUGGCUCAGGAUGAACGCUAGCGACAGGCCUAACACAUGCAAGUCGAGGGGCAGCGGAGAGGUAGCAAUACCUUUGCCGGCGACCGGCGCACGGGUGAGUAACACGUAUGCAAUCCACCUGUAACAGGGGGGAUAACCCGGAGAAAUCCGGACUAAUACCCCCAUAAUAUGGGCGCUCCGCAUGGAGAGCCCCNUUAAAGAGAGCAAUUUGGUUUACAGACGAGCAUGCGGCUCCCACUUAAG